UCGUGCAACAAGAGGCGUUCGGGGCUGUCGCUGACCUUUUUUCAAAGGUCGUGCACGCCUUGAUCGUUCUCGUUUACACAUCCAUCUCACCCUUUGUGCAUCACCGCGUGGGCCCUCCUGAAAGGUGUGGCCUGCGUUAUUUUUCACACAAACCUUUGUAGUAGUGAAUGUCUUUACUUUUGCGAUUGCAAUCAGUA
rnacentral:misc_RNA from 1 species